rnacentral:rRNA from 1 species
UAGACCGCCUGGGGAGUACGGCCGCAAGGUUAAAACUCAAAUGAAUUGACGGGGGCCCGCACAAGCGGUGGAGCAUGUGGUUUAAUUCGAUGCAACGCGAAGAACCUUACCUGGUCUUGACAUCCACGGAAAUUUUCAGAGAUGAGAAUGUGCCUUCGGGAACCGUGAGACAGGUGCUGCAUGGCUGUCGUCAGCUCGUGUUGUGAAAUGUUGGGUUAAGUCCCGCAACGAGCGCAACCCUUAUCCUUUGUUGCCAGCGAUUAGGUCGGGAACUCAAAGGAGACUGCCAGU